AGCGGCGGACGGGUGAGUAACACGUGGGUAACCUGCCUGUAAGACUGGGAUAACUCCGGGAAACCGGGGCUAAUACCGGAUGGUUGUUUGAACCGCAUGGUUCAGACAUAAAAGGUGGCUUCGGCUACCACUUACAGAUGGACCCGCGGCGCAUUAGCUAGUUGGUGAGGUAACGGCUCACCAAGGCGACGAUGCGUAGCCGACCUGAGAGGGUGAUCGGCCACACUGGGACUGAGACACGGCCCAGACUCCUACGGGAGGCAGCAGUAGGGAAUCUUCCGCAAUGGACGAAAGUCUGACGGAGCAACGCCGCGUGAGUGAUGAAGGUUUUCGGAUCGUAAAGCUCUGUUGUUAGGGAAGAACAAGUGCCGUUCAAAUAGGGCGGCACCUUGACGGUACCUAACCAGAAAGCCACGGCUAACUACGUGCCAGCAGCCGCGGUAAUACGUAGGUGGCAAGCGUUGUCCGGAAUUAUUGGGCGUAAAGGGCUCGCAGGCGGUUUCUUAAGUCUGAUGUGAAAGCCCCCGGCUCAACCGGGGAGGGUCAUUGGAAACUGGGGAACUUGAGUGCAGAAGAGGAGAGUGGAAUUCCACGUGUAGCGGUGAAAUGCGUAGAGAUGUGGAGGAACACCAGUGGCGAAGGCGACUCUCUGGUCUGUAACUGACGCUGAGGAGCGAAAGCGUGGGGAGCGAACAGGAUUAGAUACCCUGGUAGUCCACGCCGUAAACGAUGAGUGCUAAGUGUUAGGGGGUUUCCGCCCCUUAGUGCUGCAGCUAACGCAUUAAGCACUCCGCCUGGGGAGUACGGUCGCAAGACUGAAACUCAAAGGAAUUGACGGGG
rnacentral:rRNA from 1 species